rnacentral:piRNA from 1 species
UGUAAUGUGCACAUUUUUUUCCCNCACUGC